AUUGAACGCUGGCGGCAGGCCUAACACAUGCAAGUCGAACGAGUGGCGGACGGGUGAGUAAUGUCUGGGAACCUGCCCGAUGGAGGGGGAUCACUACUGGAAACGGUAGCUAAUACCGCAUACCAUCGGAUGUGCCUAGAUGGGAUUAGCUAGGAGGUGGGGUAACGGCUCACCUAGGCGACGAUCCCUAGCUGGUCUGAGAGGAUGACCAGACACACUGGAACUGGGACACGGUCCAGACGCCAACGGGAGGCAGCGGUGGGGAUUAUUGCACAAUGAGCGCAAGCCUGAUGCAGCAAGGCCGCGUGUAUGAAGAAGGCCUUCGGGUUGUAAAGUACUUGCAGCGAGGAGGCGUUACUCGCAGAAGAAGCACCGGCUAACGCCGUGCCAGCCGCCGCGGUAAUAC
rnacentral:rRNA from 1 species